rnacentral:rRNA from 1 species
GACGAACGCUGGCGGCGUGCUUAACACAUGCAAGUCGAACGGAAAGGCCCUGCUUUUGUGGGGUGCUCGAGUGGCGAACGGGUGAGUAACACGUGAGUAACCUGCCCUUGACUUUGGGAUAACUUCAGGAAACUGGGGCUAAUACCGGAUAGGAGCUCCUGCUGCAUGGUGGGGGUUGGAAAGUUUCGGCGGUUGGGGAUGGACUCGCGGCUUAUCAGCUUGUUGGUGGGGUAGUGGCUUACCAAGGCUUUGACGGGUAGCCGGCCUGAGAGGGUGACCGGCCACAUUGGGACUGGGAUGCGGCCCAGGCGCCUACGGGAGGCAGCAGUGGAGAAUUUUGCACAAUGGGCGGAGGCGUGGUGGAGCAACGCCGCGUGCGGGAGGACGGCCUUCGGGUUGUAACCGCUUUCGCCUGUGACGACGCGUGAGUGACGGUAAUGGGUAAAGAAGCACCGGCUAACUACGUG